rnacentral:piRNA from 1 species
UGAUGAUACAUUCUUCUGUGCUGUUGU